GACGUAGGGUGCAAGCGUUGUCCGGAUUUAUUGGGCGUAAAGAGCUCGUAGGCGGCUUGUUGCGUCGACUGUGAAAACCCGCGGCUUAACCGCGGGCUUGCAGUUGAUACGGGCAGGCUAGAGUUCGGUAGGGGAGACUGGAAUUCCUGGUGUAGCGGUGAAAUGCGCAGAUAUCAGGAGGAACACCGGUGGCGAAGGCGGGUCUCUGGGCAGUAACUGACGCUGAGGAGCGAAAGCGUGGGGAGCGAACAGG
rnacentral:rRNA from 1 species